UACGUAGGGUGCGAGCGUUGUCCGGAAUUAUUGGGCGUAAAGGGCUCGUAGGCGGUUUGUCGCGUCGGGAGUGAAAUCCACUGGCUUAACUGGUGGCUUGCUUUCGAUACGGGCAGACUGGAGGUAUGCAGGGGAGAACGGAAUUCCUGGUGUAGCGGUGAAAUGCGCAGAUAUCAGGAGGAACACCGGUGGCGAAGGCGGUUCUCUGGGCAUGUCCUGACGCUGAGGAGCGAAAGUGUGGGGAUCAAACAGG
rnacentral:rRNA from 1 species